UACGAAGGGGGCUAGCGUUGUUCGGAAUUACUGGGCGUAAAGCGUAUGUAGGCGGAUCGUUAAGUCGGGGGUGAAAUCCCGAGGCUCAACCUCGGAACUGCCUUCGAUACUGGCGAUCUUCGAGUCCGGGAGAGGUGAGUGGAACUCCGAGUGUAGAGGUGAAAUUCGUAGAUAUUCGGAAGAACACCAGUGGCGAAGGCGGCUCACUGGCCCGGUACUGACGCUGAUGAGCGAAAGCCAGGGGAGCAAACGGG
rnacentral:rRNA from 1 species